rnacentral:tRNA from 2 species
AGUCGCGUAGCUCAGGGGUAGAGCAUCACCUUGACAUGGUGGGGGUCGGUGGUUCGAAACCACUCGCGACUACCA